rnacentral:misc_RNA from 1 species
GUCAGCCUGGUAAGCAUGUUUUGAACAUCUGUCUUACAGCUAAGGCUAGAUUAUAGUGGCAGCAAAGUGGUUGAGUGUCGAUAGCUGAUAUAUUUAACUGGUUCCAAACCUCGAUAUCUGUUCGAGCAUCGAUACUCCGCCCCUCAUUUUCACCUCUAUCUCAACUUAUCCGAAGACAACAUGAUUUCAUGUAAUGAAGAACACUGCCAUGCAGUAGUAACCGCCGUCACUACUGAGAAAUAUCGACUGGAAAGGGUUAAAGCACGUGAAUUGCUGAUUAUAUUGAUGAAGUGAAACUGGAGAACUGUUAAUAUGACAAGCCUUGUGCAAAACAAAUCCAACCCUCAACAUUUGUAGUCUUCAUGCUACGCUGAAAAAAUUUCAUUAACAACUUAUUUUUAAAAUCUGAAUCAAAAUGUAGUUUAGUUACGCAAAAUUUUAUUUAUCAAUUCAAAGAUGUGUUACUGUUUUUUCCUAACCACCUGCUGUUGCAGUGUCUAAAAUAACUAUUAUUGAUUUUUCUCUUUUUAAUGCUAAAACUAUGAGAUUCUUUACGUUUAAUAAUCUACAAUAACACAUCUGUGAAUAGAACGACAGUUUUCUUUUCAACAUAACAUUUAUAUGUUUUUAAUGACAAUAUGUGGCAAACACCACAGAGUAAGUUCCUAGCAAAUAGAGUCUGCAACAUGGUUUUCAUUCCCGUUAGUAACAAUUUCACUUGAUCUUCCAUCGCUAAAGUAUUUGAGGCAUGAACGUCACACAACUUCUUUCUCACCUCCAUGAAUCCGAAGUCCUGUGCAAUGACAACACACAUUAUGCGACUCUAUAAAGUUGGACUUAAGUUUUUUAUCUCUAUGUCGCGAUAGAAGGAACUGUUUUCGAUUAAAUAUAUUUUUAUAAUACAUCGACGGAAAGGAAGGAUAAACAGUGACAGUCUGGAGGACAUCAAGAAACUGUUGAGUCGAUACCUUAAGCUCCAUUUAUUUUAAAGGAAGGAAAAGAAAGAAUAACAUCAACAUAUCCGUCAAAAAACAACAAACAAAAACACAUCUUCGUUGAUGUCGAUACAGUGAACUUGUAAAUUCUUUAAUCAUAACUAACGAAAAUGAAACUUAUUUAAUUUCUUCUUCCCAGUCUUUAUAUCACUGGAGACAGAACUAUAUCCCAUAACAAUUAAAUUUAAAUUGUAUGCAUUUUCGGACACGAAGUGUUUGUUUAAAUACAUUUUGUAAACAAUCGAAGCUCAAAGGAUUCUUGCGGUGGAAUGAAUGAAAGAAAAAAAAAGUAUUAUGUAUUAAUAUAUAUGUCUAUACAGAUGUAUAACUAUGACAAUCAGGAAUCUAUCGAAAGUUUUAAACGUCACCUGUAAUAGUAAUGAAUUUGAAACGAUUAAUAAGUGAAGAACUAAAAAAAAUUCAGAAGAUAGCUGAAUACGACAGGUUCUUGUUGCAUGUGGAGAGUAUCUUAACUCUUCCUUUCUCUUUGAUGGCAGAAUAUAUUUUUGAACAAAAUAUAUAUACUUAAUAUAUAUUACUCACCUCAUUUUAAUCAGUUUCUAUGUAAAAAAAAAAAAAGAAAGAGAAAAUUCGUGAAGAAUACGAUAAAUUACAACAGAAUGAAAUUUCUCUUCGCUGAGAAGAUUGUUUAUACAAGUCAAAUUUUCCUUGAAACUUUUACCCUGAAACCAGAGAUGUUUAUAGCACACAUUAGAAUAUAAUGAAUAAAUAAGGAAAAUAUAUUAAACUUUAGUACGAAAAUAAAUCUAUAAUAAAGAAUGCUGGCAUUCAGCAAUGCAGUAAGAUUGUUACAGUUGGAAUAUAGGCUAGCCGAGCUAAUAUUCUAUUGUAGACUUGUUUCGAGGCUACGCACGCCGGGUCGAGUAUUCAGAAGAUGGCGGGUGUUUUGUUUGAAGAUAUUUUCGACGUAAAGGAUCUUGAUCCCGAUGGCAAGAAAUUCGACAGAGUCAGCCGCUUAUUCUGUGAAUCUGAAUCUUUCAAGAUGUAUCUUAUCUUGGAUGUCAAUACACAGACGUAUCCAGUGGAACUUGGUGACAAGUUUCGGAUGGUGAUAGCUACAACUUUACGUGAAGAUGGCUAUCCUGAUGAUGGGGAAUAUUCACCUGUUGAUAGUGGCCCAACCCGAGCAGACAGCUUUGAAUAUGUUAUGUAUGGAAAGGUUUAUAAAUUGGAAGGUGAUGAGACCGGCGCUGACUCUGGAAGACUGUCUGCAUAUGUGUCUUUUGGAGGUCUGCUGAUGAGGCUACAAGGAGACGCCAACAAUCUACACGGUUUUGAAGUUGAUUCCCACGUCUACCUUUUAAUGAAGAAGCUGGCAUUUUAAGAAAACUGAUAAUUGCAUGAACACACUGACAGACACAUACAUGUAACAUUCAUCUAUAAAUUCACCCUAUAUAUAUCCCCAUACAUGCACACACACAAAUGACUUGACAUGCCCAAAAUUUCAUGUCAAGGCACUUAUUGAUCACAAAUCAUUAUCUCUUUGAAUUACAUGUAUACACAUUCUCAGGAAUCACACACACACACACACACUAGAAGUGCACACUUUUAAAUACACAUACAUGCUUCUCUACAUAACCAUAUAAUUUAUAAGCUCAUAACAUUAACACAGAAAAUGUCUUAAAAUAAAUACAUACAAUAAACGCUACAUGCUUUAAACAUAACAUAUACAUAGCAUACACAAAGCAUAUAGAUACCUUAAACAUAGCCUCUAUACAUACUACAAACACAUACAGAUGCCUUAAACACACCAUAUACACAUCAUAAAUAUCAAAAAUUUCUAUUUUUCCAAUCUUUGUAAGAUUUGUUUUUUAAAUAAAGAUCACUGCCACUUUUGAAAUUACUUUGUAA